UACAGAGGUCUCAAGCGUUGUUCGGAUUCAUUGGGCGUAAAGGGUGCGUAGGUGGCGCCGUAAGUCAGGUGUGAAAUCUCAGGGCUCAACCCUGAAACUGCAUUCGAUACUGCCUUGCUCGAGGACUGGAGAGGAGAUUGGAAUUCACGGUGUAGCAGUGAAAUGCGUAGAUAUCGUGAGGAAGACCAGUGGCGAAGGCGGAUCUCUGGACAGUUCCUGACGCUGAGGCACGAAGGCCAGGGGAGCAAACGGG
rnacentral:rRNA from 1 species